CUACAACUAGAACAUAGGAAGUUCUGUACAAAUAUGUGCAAGAACUUUACAGUAAAGGUGACGGAGCACUGGCACAGGCUGCCCAGAGGUGGUGGAGUCUCCUUCUGUGGAGAUAUUCCAGGCCCAUCUGGACACCCAUCUGUGUGACCUAUUGUAGGGUAGUGCUUUAGAGACUUGGACUCAGCUAUCUCUUAAGGUCCCUUCCAACCCCUGCAAUUCUGUGGUUCUGUGAUUUGUGUUUUUACUUUUCUGUAUGGAUGCAACAGCUUUGUCAGUUCUAGUAAACAAAGCAAAACAAAGCAAAACAAAAACCACCCUUCCCAGCACUGAGGACCUAAGCUGCCAAGGUGGGGCACAUUUGAAGAUGUGAAGAUGGAAGCUGAGUGAACUGUAGCCACAAAUGGCACAUUCAGAAUGUACUGAGAUACCAUUCCUUUGCUCUGUGCCAUAUGAAGUUGUAAGACACGUAUCACAUUAUCCUUCUAUUGCGUGAGCUAAAAAGUGAGAGGUUCCAGAGCAGCAGUUCUCACUUCCAUUUAUAUUCUCAUCAAAACAUCUGAGAAGAUAACACAGAUGCAGUGGUAGCAUUUUGUAUUUAGGGCAGCCUUUAAUAUCAGGUUAGAGAGCAGAAUUUUUGAUGAGUCAAGGUGAAGAGCAGUAAAAGAAAUCUCCAUUUCUAUUUGGCAGGGUCAGCCCAGGGGAGCUCAGCUGCAAGCAAUGAAGCUGAGUGACCAGGAGGGCUGGAGCCAGGAUCUACCCCUUCCCAGACCUCAUUUAAGGGUUGGCAGUGGAAAGUCCUCAUGCUGUAUGAUGGCAUGCAAUGCAAUGCAGCAGAUGUACUGCAGUAACCCCAGAGCACCUUCUGGGAAGAUAUCAAUUUUUUUUCCUCCUCUAUCUAUUUUCUUUCCAGUCUCAAACAAGGAACUAUAAAAACAUGGAAAAUGUAGAAAUUAGACUAUCUUGUUGUAGAUGCAUACUCAG
ensembl:lncRNA